UGGGCGUAAAGCGCGUGUAGGCGGUUUGUUAAGUCUGAUGUGAAAGCCCUGGGCUCAACCUGGGAAGUGCAUUGGAAACUGGCAGACUUGAGUACGGGAGAGGGCAGUGGAAUUCCUAGUGUAGGAGUGAAAUCCGUAGAUAUUAGGAGGAACACCGGUGGCGAAGGCGGCUACCUGGACCGAUAUUGACGCUGAGACGCGAAAGCGUGGGGAGCAAACAGGAUUAGAUAGCCUGGUAGUCCACGCCGUAAACGAGAGUACUAGGGUGCG
rnacentral:rRNA from 1 species